CGGUCAUUACCAAGGCUUUUAGAAUGCAGUUCCUGAAUUGCUGUGGACAUGACCUUAAAGAAAAUGUCCAUUAGGUUUGUCAUCUGCUACCUUGCCAGCAGUCAGCCAAUGGAGAACAUUU